rnacentral:tRNA from 1 species
GCACCAGGGGGGAUAACGGGAUAGAGUACUCGGCUACGAACCGAGCGGUCGGAGGUUCGAAUCCUCCCGGAUGCACCA